UACGGGGGGGGCAAGCGUUGUUCGGAAUUACUGGGCGUAAAGGGCUCGUAGGUGGCCAACUAAGUCAUGCGUGAAAUCCCUCGGCUUAACCGGGGAACUGCGUCUGAUACUGGAUGGCUUGAGUUUGGGAGAGGGAUGCGGAAUUCCAGGUGUAGCGGUGAAAUGCGUAGAUAUCUGGAGGAACACCGGUGGCGAAGGCAGCUUGCUGGGACGGUACUGACGCUGAGGCGCGAAAGCGUGGGGAGCAAACAGG
rnacentral:rRNA from 1 species